rnacentral:rRNA from 1 species
CGUGGGUAACCUGCCCAAGAGAUCGGGAUAACACCUGGAAACAGAUGCUAAUACCGGAUAACAACAGAUGAUGCCUAUCAACUGUUUAAAAGAUGGUUCUGCUAUCACUCUUGGAUGGACCUGCGGUGCAUUAGCUAGUUGGUAGGGUAACGGCCUACCAAGGCGAUGAUGCAUAGCCGAGUUGAGAGACUGAUCGGCCACAUUGGGACUGAGACACGGCCCAAACUCCUACGGGAGGCAGCAGUC